rnacentral:rRNA from 1 species
UGUCCCAGCUUGGCUGGCUGUGUUUUCAGAAUGCAGUCGAACGAUUAAGACUUCCUCCGGGAAGUGCAUAAAGUGGCGCACGGGUGAGUAACACGUAAGUAAUCUACCCUCGAGUGGGGAAUAACGUUCGGAAACGGACGCUAAUACCGCAUAACGCAGCGGCACCGCAAGGUGACAGUUGUUAAAGGAGCAAUCCGCUUGAGGAGGAGCUUGCGGCAGAUUAGCUAGUUGGUAGGGUAAUGGCUUACCAAGGCUACGAUCUGUAUCCGGUCUAAGAGGACGGUCGGACACACUGACACUGAAUAACGGGUCAGACUCCUACGGGAGGCAGCAGUCGGGAAUUUUGGGCAAUGGGCGAAAGCCUGACCCAGCAACGCCGCGUGAAGGAUGAAGUAUUUCGGUAUGUAAACUUCGAAAGAAUAGGAAGAAUAAAUGACGGUACUAUUUAUAAGCUCCGGCUAACUACGUGCCAGCAGCCGCGGUAAUACGUAGGGAGCAAGCGUUGUUCGGAUUUACCGGGCGUAAAGGGCGCGUAGGCGGCGCGGUAAGUCACUUGUGAAAUCUCUGAGCUUAACUCAGAACGGCCAAGUGAUACUGCAGUGCUAGAGUGCAGAAAGGGCAGUCGGAAUUCUUGGUGUAGCGGUGAAAUGCGUAGAUAUCAAGAGGAACACCUGAGGCGAAGGCGGGUUGCUAGGCUGACACUGACGCUGAGGCGCGAAAGCCAGGGGAGCAAACGGGAUUAGAUACCCCGGUAGUCCUGGCCCUAAACGAUGAAUACUUGGUGUCUGGGAGUUUCAAUACUCCGGGUGCCGUCGCUAACGUUUUAGUAUUCCGCCUGGG